rnacentral:sRNA from 1 species
UGUAUCUGAAGCCUGACGAGGAUGAGAACCUCCGGGGGCAAGAGGUUAGACUCGAGCGCAGCGAGAGAACGUUGCUUCAGCAACGGCCCGCAGGGCGAGCCACGCAGUGGCGAGUCAUCCUCUAUCACCGACCA